GCGAUUCGGCAUGAUCUGAUUUAUUGAUUUUCUUGUUUUGUUUAAUUUGUUAUGUAUUUAAUUUAUCUGAAGAAUCUCUUUGUUGUUGUAUAUUUGUGAUUUAAUUUUUUAUGCUAUAGAUUACUUGUACCGUAUGGGUAUGAUUUUUGUUUAGUUUAUUUUUAAAAGCUGAUUUUAUUUAUUGUACCUUGUGUAUCAGGGUUCAUUGAAUUUUAUUAUUUAUUUUUAUUUCCCGAUUUUGAAGGAGUUAAUUGUUUAUUUUAGUUAUUGUUUCAUCAAUAUUAAUAAUAGGCUGUUGGUAGUGAAAUGUUAUUCGUCUUUAAAGGUUUCUGGUUUUCCUAGAAAUGAAUUCAAUUCAUGCUCUUUAUUUAAUUUUUACUUUUAUUUUAUUUUUUUUAAUUUGGUGUUAAGAUUAAGGGGGAUUAGCUCCUUAUUUUAUUUUUAUAAUUUUUUGUUCUAUUUAGUUUUGUGGAUUUUAUGGUGAUUUUCAAUUUGAUUAUGUUAAAAUUUUAUUUACCUUUUUGUUUAUUUUCCUUUAAUUUAAUUUGUUUAUUGGAAUUUCUUCUUUAAUUUUUUGUUUGAUUAGAAAUUAUUGUGUAAUUAGUAAAUUUUAUUUUAUUUUUGUUUAUUUUGUGUGAAAUUCUUUUGAGGAAUUCGGCAAAGUUUCAUGUCCGCCUGUUUAACAAAAACAUCUCUUCUUGUUAGUUUUUGAAGUAUGGCCUGCCCACUGACUUUAAGUUGAAGGGCCGCGGUAUUUUGACCGUGCAAAGGUAGCAUAAUCAUUAGUUCUUUAAUUGUGAUCUGGUAUGAAUGGUUUGACGAGGCAUGUACUGUCUUAGGUGUUUAGAAUAAUUUUAUUGAAUUUGGUCUUUGAGUUAAAAUUCUUAAAUGUUUUUAUGGGACGAGAAGACCCUAUAGAGUUUAACAUUUUAUUUUCUUUGUAUUUUGUUUGUUUAUUUUUAUUAAGUGAUUUGAGUGUUUUGUUGGGGUGAUGGGAGGAAAUUAUUUAACUCCUCUUUGUUUUUUAUAUUUAUUUAUAUUUUUUUGAUCCAUUUAUUUUGAUUAUAAGAUUAAAUUACCUUAGGGAUAACAGCGUUAUCUUCCUUGAGAGUUCUUAUUGGCGGGGAGGUUUGCGACCUCGAUGUUGGAUUAAGGUUAAUUUUUGGUGUAGGAGCUGAAAGUGAUUGGGUCUGUUCGACCUUUAAAAUCUUACAUGAUCUGAGUUCAGACCGGCGUGAGCCAGGUUGGUUUCUAUCUAUAAUACUAUUUUAUACCUUAGUACGAGAGGACCGGGUAUUUGGAAUAAUUUUGUUUUUGUGAUUAUUAUUAAUGUUGUUUACUAUUUUGGCAGAUAAGUGCAUUGGAUUUAGAAUCUA
rnacentral:rRNA from 1 species